rnacentral:rRNA from 1 species
UACGAAGGGGGCUAGCGUUGUUCGGAAUUACUGGGCGUAAAGCGCACGCAGGCGGAUUUAUAAGUCAGGGGUGAAAUCCCGGGGCUUAACCUCGGAAUUGCCUUUGAUACUGUCUAUCUUGAGUCCGGGAGAGGUGAGUGGAAUUCCUAGUGUAGAGGUGAAAUUCGUAGAUAUUAGGAAGAACACCAGUGGCGAAGGCGGCUCACUGGCCCGGUACUGACGGUCAUGUGCGAAAGCGUGGGGAGCAAACAGG